AUCGCUCUUCUCUGCUGGGGGACUGGCUGCCUCUGUGACUGCUCCAAGAGCCACACUAUAGAGUCUACUCCCUCCCUAUCUUACCCACCUUUAAUGUGAAAGGCAUUCGACCAUCUCCACCCCAUUCCAGAGAAAGAAUUUACAGAAUAUAUUGGAACCUACCAUGAAAUUCUCCAC
rnacentral:lncRNA from 1 species